UCAAAGAGAGACUGUAUUCUUCAAAACUCAAAAUGAGUCACCUAAAUUCAUGGGAAUUGAACUUUCUUCCUUCUCUUGGUAUCAUUUGUACCUUUGUUCUUUUGUUAAACAGAUAUUAUGGUUUUACAAGUACACAAUAGGCAAGUAUGUGUAAUUCGUGGUAUCUUUUUGUAAGGAAAUUUAUAAAAGAAAUGCUGAAAUUCGGAAGAAACAAAUUAUUUCACAUAUCGGUGGCUCCAAACCUAACUCCAGAAGAAGGGAUGAAAUGAUGGCUGAGACUGGAAAAAAGCCUGGACGAGGACAACUUUAUCUCGCUACACAUAGGAAUGAAGAUGGAUCAUAUGUUAAUGAGGCGGCAAAAGAGAUAUGUGAAAAAAUUGAACUAGCAUUGAGCCAAAGCACCGUGGAUGAGUCGGAAAUUUUGCCAAAUGAUGUCAUUGGUAAGGUGUUGGGAAAAGAGCACUCUGGAAUGGUAAGGUGCUUGGGAUUAGGAGUUGUUCCUGGCAGAGCGUUUAGACAAACAAGACCUCGUUAUAAUGAUUUGAAUGCUUCAAGUUAUAAUAACGGUUCAUGUUCUUCCUAAUGCCAAGAGAAGUACAAUCAAAUGUUGAAUGCUCACAAUCAAAGCCAAGAGAACUACAGAGAAAUGAUGAAUGCUUUUAAGGCGUAUAUGAUAAUGAAAGUAGGGAGGAUACCUGAAUAAUUUGCAGGGAUCUUUGUUUCUCCUCAUUCAACGCCAAGUGAUGUGGCUAGCGGAUCCAUUUCACCCAUGGAUGUAAGAAGAUCAUCUGGUGGAAGUAAUCCUAACGACAACCAUUGAAGUUGCUUCCAAAUGUAUCGUACUCCAUUGAAUGGUCAUAGGAAUUCUUUUGUCCAUAAUAGUUGGAGUAGAU